rnacentral:lncRNA from 1 species
ACACUGCGGCGAUUCUGGAGAGGUUGUCCUUUUCUGGCAUCAGCGUUGCGGCUCGAGGCAAAGCUGGUCCUGUGCCUGCUGUCCAUUGCCGCUAAGGCCUGCUGCUGCCAUUCAGGCGUGUCUCUCUCUCUCUCUCUCUUUCAUGCCGCUCUCUCCACCCCAUCUUGGGACGGCCAGCUCUAAGAAUUCCUGCUACGACACUGAAUUCAACCAGGAGGUGAUGCCACACUCAAUCAGAAACUAUGCUACUGCUGAAGAGGUAUAUUGAGCCCUGCCUGGUUAACCUCCAGUGAGGUUAUUAGAGAAUUGGGAGAGGCUCAAAUCAGCAUCCUGCACCUAGUUAUCAAACCAUUGUGAAGUCUUGAUUCCUGGAUGGCCAGAAAACUUGUCAUUGGUCAAGAGCAACAUUAAGAUCUGCCUGUUACUCAUACUGAUGCUUCCUGCCCAGCAAGUUCAUCAGAGGGCGAGGAUGAAUUACGGUUGCCAUGAAUGUCCUUGUGAGGCAGUUGGGAAGCCUUGGCUGGAUUGUGAAGGAUAUUUGAAAAGUAUUUUAGAGUCCACCAGAUCAUCCAUGUGAGUGACCAUGCAGCAAAAGAAGGAGGGUCCUCUCAGUGAUUAAGGAUUAUGAAGUAUUAAUUCUUCCACUGAUAUCUCAAAAGGUGAUCUGGACAAAGGAACAGGUAUCUCAGCUUCCAAGUUUGCUGGAGCCAUGUUUUCUCUAAUGUCCCCACAGAACAGUGGUUGGUAGGAUGGCGGAGACAUGGACUUCAGAGAGUUCUUGGUAGAAGACUCAAAGAGCCACCUGUCAUGAGACAUCCCACUUCCUUCCCCAGGUUACUUCCAAGACUGAGCAGCCAGGUUUUUGGUAGAUGAGAACAAAUGUUUCUUCCUGAAGCCCUGGGGCUUCAGGUAGGAAGAAGGACUGCUAUACUUGUUCUCACCCUUGGCUUCUGGCUGCUCCAGUUAAACAUGGUUCCCAUUGAUACAGACAUUAGAGUGGGAAAGGACUUCGUUCAUAGACCGAAGACCCUCAAAGGAAAGUCCUUCCAUUUUGGGAAGGGUGACAUUGAUUUCGUUUAGCUGCUUAAGAUAUGUACUUGCUGUUGUCUUGUGAGACAUGACAUCUGAAGCUGAAGAGGAGUCCCUCUCAUUGUUGUCAUUGUCCCACCGGGACUGAAAGUCUCCCAGUUGAGGCAGCAUUUUAGCUUUGAUGUCUACAGGGCAAUCAUGGAUCAGGAAAUUUCUGCAAAUUAGACUUGGAAAACAAGGUCUUGAUCCUUCUUGUCUUUGGACGAAGACUAAUCAUCACUUUUGACUGAAGGUGUAGUGCUGGAGACUAUGUUGGAGGCAGCACCUGAUGCACUAUCCAUAUUCUUCCCCUUGAUCUUGUCUUAAAGUUUUCCAAAUGGAUUCCGAGGCUUGUCUUUGAUGAAAAGGUCAAACAUACUGGCAGUCAUGUUGUUUCUCAUAAGCUGGAUGUCAACCUCAAUUUCUCCUCUUUAUCCUUCUCUCCUGGUUUGGAUUUCAAGGUAUACCACCGCAUCUUCCUGCUCCCCUAGUCUGGGUGCAGGUCCUGCAGGUACACCUCGGCGAAGCCCAAGUACAGUAGCAGCAGCACCUCAAAGGUGGCCUCCUCCUCUGACACUGAGGUGGCAUACUUCUCCUUACCCACCUGAAUCACCGAGUACAUGUUGCUUGUACCGUCAGGCUCUUGGUUCUUGGCCCCUGGCCCUAUGCCUGCAACACUGUCACCUGCACGUGGAUUGGGAACCACAUAGCCCCCGGACCUGCUAAGGCCAUUAAGGACAGGAUGGUGAUGCCUCGGCUGACUGACGUGAGAAGAUUGUCAUGACCCAUGGCCUCUACUGCUGUCCUACCAACAGAAACUUCAUAAUGUUGUGCAGGCGUUACCACUACCUAGUUCCAGAACAUUGCCAUCACCCCCAAAAUAAAUCUUGCAUUCAUUAAGCAGUCACCCCUAUUUUCCCCCAUCCCU